rnacentral:rRNA from 1 species
AACGAACGCUGGCGGCAUGCCUAACACAUGCAAGUCGAACGAGACCUGCUGGUCUAGUGGCGCACGGGUGCGUAACGCGGGGGAACCUGCCCUUAGGUUCGGAAUAACUCCCCGAAAGGGGUGCUAAUACCGGAAAAUGUCUUCGGACCAACGAUUUAUCGCCUUUGGAUGGGCCCGCGUUGGGUUAGCUAGUUGGUAGGGUAAAAGCCUACCAAGGCGACGAUACAUAGCUGGUCUGAGAGGAUGGUCAGCCACACUGGGACUGAGACACGGCCCAGACUCCUACGGGAGGAAGCAGUGGGGAAUAUUGGACGAUGGGCGAGAGACUGAUCCAGCAAUGCCGCGUGAGUGAUGAAGGCCUGAGGGUUGUAAAGCUCUUUUACCCGUGAUGAUAAUGACAGUACCGGGAGAAUAAGCCCCGGCUAACUCCGUG